UACGGAGGGAGCUAGCGUUGUUCGGAAUUACUGGGCGUAAAGCGCACGUAGGCGGUUACUCAAGUCAGAGGUGAAAGCCCGGGGCUCAACCCCGGACUGCCUUUGUAAACUAGGUAACUAGAAUCCUGGAGAGGUGAGUGGAAUUCCGAGUGUAGAGGUGAAAUUCGUAGAUAUUGGAAGAACACCAGUGGCGAAGGCGGCUCUCUGGUCCACGAC
rnacentral:rRNA from 1 species